rnacentral:lncRNA from 1 species
CAUUUUAACAAUGUUAUUGUAUUAAUUUCAUUUUUUCUAUUAAAUGGCUUUCGAAAAUGAUAAGUACUCCCUCUGAUCCAUAAAAAGUGUCGCCCACUUAGUAAAAAAAUUGUACUAACUUAGUCAUACCCAAUCUUUUAAAAAUGAGAUUGCCUUCGUGAAAGACCCAAGCCUACGGCAAAGUGGGGUUUUCCGGUAGUGAGUCGCCAGCCACGUUUUUUUAUUUUUCUUCUCUCUUGGGUCCCACACUCACAAGUUUUUUUUUUGACGGGCACACACUCACAAGUGACACCCGGUCUUUUAAAAAGUUGUCAAAACCUUCUCCAGCCGGAGGACAGGCAAAUUUCCUUUAGAAAAUUUUCAGUGCUUUGAAGGGAAUUUAGUUAGAGCUGAAGGAUUAGUCAUAGAGGGACGAUAAGAAUUAGCAAGUUGGUUCCCUCAAAAAAGAUUUGUAGCAGCUGCCGGACUCGCACCAGCCCACCGCCGCUCGAGCCUAGCACGAGCCGCCUCCACUG